ensembl:lncRNA
GUGGGAACGCGGGGGUGUAGGAGGGGGGGUAGUUGGGGUUGGCGUACCCUGGUGUGGUCCAGGUAGAGUUCUCCAUGGGGGAGUGGACCUCUGUCAUCAGGGUGUGGAACACCAGACUCAGGGUUCCAUUCUCCAGUCCCUCCACCUCUGGAUGCAACAACAACUCUGCCUUCUGCUCCGGAGUUAACAGGUGUAGCACCUCCAGCUAUGGAGAGACAGAGACCAGCAGUAUGUUUCAGUGAGAGACAGAGAGAGACCAGCAGUAUGUUUCAGUGAGCAACAGAGAGAGACCAGCAGUAUGUUUCAGUGAGAGACAGACAGAGACCACCAGUAUGUUUCAGUGAGAGACAGAGAGAGACCAGCAGUAUGUUUCAGUGAGAGACAGACAGAGACCAGCAGUAUGUUACAGAGAGAGACAGACCAUAUGUUUCAGUGAGAGACAGAGAGAGACCAGCAGUAUGUUUCAGUGAGAGACAGAGAGAGACCAGCAGUAUGUUUCAGUGAGAGACAGACAGAAACCAGCAGUAUGUUUCAGUGUGAGACAGAGAGAGACCACCAGUAUGUUUCAGAGAGAGACAGAGAGAGACCACCAGUAUGUUUCUGGUGGUGAGAGAGGAUAGAGAGAGAGAGGAUAGAGAGAGAUAGAGAGAGAGGGAUAGAAAGAGGGAGAGCAAGAGAUCGUGAGCCGAGACAACGGUUCCUCAGUAGUGUAACUCACCCCACUAAAGACUAUGUUGAGGGCUGUGAAGUCCCUCAUACGAGCGACGGCUUUAAACGAGCCAAAGUUCCUGAUCAGCCAGUCCUCACUGUUCUCCCCUGGCCUCACACAUCCUGCACACAGAGAAGAGUUAUGAGCUGUUGGGGGCACUGUUACAUCAUGUCAAAAGGGUUUCUGGGUUGGUGGUUUCUGGGUUGGUGGUUUCUGGGUUGGCGGUUUCUGGGUUGGUGGUUUCUGGGUUGGUGGUGUCUGGGUUGGUGGUUUCUGGGUUGGUGGUUUCUGGGUUGGUGGUUUCUGGGUUGGUGGUUUCUGGGUUGGUGGUUUCUGGGUUGGUGGUUUCUGGGUUGGUGGUGUCUGGGUUGGUGGUGUCUGGGUUGAUGGUUUCUGGGUUGGUGGUUUCUGGGUUGGUGGUGUCUGGGUUGGUGGUUUCUGGGUUGGUGGUUUCUGGGUUGGUCGUUUCUGGGUUGGUGGUUUCUGGGUUGGUCGUUUCCUUUCCAGCCCUUCUCUUGGUCUAGGACACCUGGUUCUCCUAAUCAGCUGGACCAGGUGUGUUUGUGUUGGUCUGGAGCAAAAGCCUGC